GAUGAACGCUGACCGAAUGCUUAACACAUGCAAGUCUUUGGCGAAGCUGUGCUUGCACAGCCUAGCCAAGGCGGACGGGUGAGUAACGCGUAAGGAACUUGCCCUGCAGUCAGGGAUAACAGACGGAAACGACUGAUAAGACCUGGUAAAGUCAGGCGGACUCAUGUCCAGCCUGAUGAAAAGAGAUGCUGCAGGAGAGCCUUGCGUCCUAUUAGCUUGUUGGUGGGGUAACGGCCCACCAAGGCGAUGAUAGGUAGCCGGCCUGAGAGGGUGGACGGCCACAAGGGGACUGAGAUACGGCCCUUACUCCUACGGGAGGCAGCAGUGGGGAAUAUUGGACAAUGGGGGCAACCCUGAUCCAGCAAUUCUGUGUGCACGAUGAAGGUUUUCGGAUUGUAAAGUGCUUUCAGCAGGGAAGAAAAAAUGACGGUACCUGCAGAAGAAGCGACGGCUAAAUACGUG
rnacentral:rRNA from 1 species